rnacentral:lncRNA from 1 species
GAAGAACUGGUGCCUUUUUAAAAGCAGACACCAGAAGGUUUGUUCUCUUUACACGUGUGCACAGAGUUGGCUGCUGAGGAGGAAGAACGAGCCCCCCGCCCUGCCCGGAGCCCUUCUGGACUUUGCCUGUGUAUGUUUCAGCUUCUCGAAAUUAGGACUUCUGAGAUACCUCAACUACCCCCAACUGGUUUAGAUGUAAGAAAAUAAGCUGCCCAACGACAAAUGAAGAUGUAUUUUGAGGCCUGUUUGACAGACAGGGUUGGAAAUGCUGCCACUCCAUUGCUGCCAUAGUGGAACAGCUUGUCACAGUGCAUAAUUUCUUCUUCUCUGAAAGCCUGGCCCAAGAUCUGCACCACCCCCCCACCCCCCGCAAACUGCUUUUGUUUAAGACUCAACCAUGGCCACCAAGCAAGCCAGAAUGUAUAGUCACUUUGAGUGUCUGCCUGAAUGAUAAUUGUUGCAGUGUCCUCAGGUGACAUCUGAAGAGCUGGACAGUUGACAAGAGACAGCGCAGUGGAGUCUCUGCCAGUUGUCCUGUCUCCCAGACACUCCCGUCGCUUCCUGGGACAAUGCCAUUUCGUUCCUCUCUCUCUGCCCCGGAGGACUCCAUUUGUCCUGGCUGUCACCCAGUUUCAUUCCUUUCUGUGAACCAACACCAUGUGAGGAUGCCUCAUUUUAGGUGAGGGCUGAAUACUAGAAAUGUGGCGCACAAGCUGAAAGUCAGCGGCCAGGAGCAUUUGGAACGCAAGGGUGAGCCACUGGCAAGAGAGAGACUUUGAUCUAAGCUGUCCCCAUCUGUCAAGGUCUCCUCUCUCAGUCCCUCCCUGAGGAACACCCUCUGAAUUUCUGACAAUGAUCUUGCAUGGCACCUAACUUGCAGCUUGCAUGGAAUGUCACAUGCUAUGUAUGUGCUAUGUGUUAUCUGAAGUUCAAGAUUUUUGUUUUCUAUACUCUUUUAAGUUUUCAGAGGGCAGGGGACACACACUCUCUUAUGGCCUUUCAUCCUCCAAUGUCCUACAGAAUGGUUUAAGGGGUUAGACCUGUAUUUGAGAUAUUAAACUAAAGCUAUCUUACACUUCACCAAGAUG